UGUACAGUGCUGAUCCCAUUUUAACAUCCCAGGGACGCAACUAUCACUUUCAGUUUAAUCUCUGUAUAAUUUCCACGAAGAAACUAUGACCUUUCAAUGAAGUUGCUACAGUAUCUUGGUGAAAGACAAGUGUUAAUAAUGUGAAAUCAACAUGGCAACAUUUGUUAACCUACAGUACAGUGCUGUAAUGGGAAUGCAAAUGAAACUGCAGCACUGUUGUUUGGUAAAGCAUGUACAUGUAUGCGAAAUGAGCAUCUUUAGAUCCAAUUUGGUGAAUCACAUGAAAAGAGGAUUGUAAAGAAAGCACAUGUAACUUGUGCAGACAGUUGAGUUUGAAAUAUAGACAGUUUUAGAGUUCACUUACCCCUCUUUCUAUGAAAUUUGAUUAAAGCACUAGACCUCCCUUUUUGGUUAUGUGUUGUUAUGUGCUUUACACAAAUUAGGGUGGAACAUGUGAAAUGCAAUCAAUUAUGAUAUAAGGCAGCGUGAAUAGUUAGUACUUGGUGCAUCUGCUGAUUAAUGUGUUUGUAACAGAGGACAUUAACAAUGAUGAGGCUGUAUAUCACCAGGACUACUGCUUAAUUAUGGACGGUUUACAGCUAAACAAUCCUAUGGUUGGAAUCAAUAUCCAGGGACAGCUCUCCUUUUAAGGGGCCAAGUGUUGUGACCUUGUUAUAUGGCCAAAAAGGACAUAAAAGUUCUAAAGAUAGCUAAGAACAAAGUUAUAUAGACUAUUAAACAUUUCAUCAAUUUAUAUUGAAUAAAGUACAUUAUGUAUAAUUUAAUAACUUUGUUACUACAUGCACAUGAAUAAAAAUAACACUUAAGUGUGGUCACAAAGGGACAGUCAGUGAUCUACAAUUAUUACCCUGAAUGCAUGUAAGAAGCUUGAUGUGAAUGCUUUUUUUAUUAAUGAUUAAUGAAAACAUAAAUAUUAUCAAACGUUAAGGUCUUUAAGUUGUUUCUGAAUGUAUACCUUGGAUGGUACAUGUUUGUACUGACUGUAUAUUCACUUUUCUUAAGUGUCAAAACUAUAGCUAUUUAUGUAUGUCAAAAUCAAAUAUUUAUAUUUCUUGAAGUGAUAACUUGACUCAUUCUCUUGAAUAUUAUUAUGAAAUGUUUGAUUCAUGUUCAAAACUUGAAAGGAAUACACAGCAAAAUGAUCUUCUUCUCUGUAUUCAAUUUGAUUAAAGUGACUUUACAAAAACAAAGAUUUUUGUGUUACAAUUCAUCUGAAAGUAAAAUGACAUGAGAUAAAUCAAUCAAUGUAACAUAUGUGUUUAUAUUGAUAUUUAUUGAUUUAUUGUUACUUGAAUGCAUUAAAAAUUGUUGGGAUGAAUAUUAAAAACACAAAGAAAAUAACACAAAAGGGACAAUAAUGAAAAUAAACAAUCUUAAUGUAAAGCUGUGAAACUUUCUACAGAAUUCCCUGAAAGUGACAUUUUAUAUUUAAUGUGCUAAAUUUAUUGUACCCUGUGUCUGUUAAAACAUAUUGUUAGCUCACCUGUCACAAAGUGACAGGGUGAGCUUUUGUGGUCGGUUUUCGUCCGGCGUCCGUACGUCGUCUGUCCGUAAACUUUUACUUUAAUGACAUCUCCUCAUAAACCGCUCAACCAAUUUCAUCCAAACUUCACAGGAAUGUUCCUUUGGUGGUCACCUUUAAAAAUUGUUCAAAGAAUUUAAUUCCAUGCAGAACUCUGGUUGCCAUGGUAACCGAAAGAAAAAACUUCAAAUAUCUUCUUUUAAAAACCCCAAAGAGCUAGAGCUUAAAUAUUUGGCAUGAAACAUCUUCAAGUGAGUGUCUACCAAGUUUGUUCAAAUAAACGCCCUGGGGUCAUUGAUUUUCCCUAUAUGCAUAUGGUAAAAACUUAAAAAAAUCUUCUUUUAAAGAACUCAAAGAGCUAGAGCUAAGAUAUUUAGCAUGAAACAUGUUCUAAUGGGUGUCUACCAAGUUUGUUCAAAUAAAAGCCCUGGGGUCAAAAUUGGCCCCGCCCCGGGGGUCAUUUAUUUUCCUUAUAUGUGUAUAGCAAAAACUUAAAAAUCUUCUUUGAUAAAACCCAAAUAGCUACAGUUUAGAUAUUAAGCACGAAGCAUCUUCUAGUAAGUGUCAACAAAGUUUGUUCAAAUAAAAGCCCUUGGGUCAAAACUGGCCCCGCCCGAGGGGGAUAUUUUUUUAACUAUAUGUGUAUAGUUAAAACUUAAAAAAUCUUCUUUAAAAAAAAACAAUGAGCUAGAGCUUAGAUGUUAAGCAUGAAACAUUUUCUUAUAGGUGUCUACCAAGUUUGUACAAAUUAAAGCCCUUGGGUUAAAAUUGGCCCUGCCGGGGUUUUUCAUUAUAUGUGUGUAGUAAAAACUUAACAUCAUGAAACAUCUUCUAAUGGGUGUCUUCCAAGUUUGUUCAAAUAAAAGCCUUGGGAUUUAAACUGGCCUCGCUCCGGGGGGGCCUAUAUACAGGUGAGCGACCUCAGGGCCAUCAUGGCCCUCUUGUUUUUAUACUGUUAUCUAGUUUUAAGAUUGUUUCUAGCAGAUAUGUACAUCAUUUCUAAACAGGUAUUAUUAAAAAUUGAUGUGAAUUAGAAAAGGUUGUAACAUGUUAUUUCAAUGUCAUAAUUUUCUGUGCAAUAUGUAUUCAUUGUCAUACUGGAAUAAUAAUAAAAGAGUUUGUAACAUUCUAACA